rnacentral:rRNA from 1 species
CCUACGGGAGGCAGCAGUGAGGAAUAUUGGUCAAUGGACGCAAGUCUGAACCAGCCAUGCCGCGUGCAGGAAGACGGCUCUAUGAGUUGUACACAACAUUUGUACGAGGGUAAACGCAGAUACGCGUAUCUGUCUGAAAGUAUCGUACGAAUAAGGAUCGGCUAACUCCGUGCCAGCAGCCGCGGUAAUACGGAGGAUUCAAGCGUUAUCCGGAUUUAUUGGGUUUAAAGGGUGCGUAGGCGGUCGGAUAAGUUAGAGGUGAAAUCCCGAGGCUCAACUUCGGAAUUGCCUCUGAUACUGUUCGGCUAGAGAGUAGUUGCGGUAGGCGGAAUGUAUGGUGUAGCGGUGAAAUGCUUAGAGAUCAUACAGAACACCGAUUGCGAAGGCAGCUUACCAAGCUACUUCUGACGUUGAGGCACGAAAGCGUGGGGAGCAAACAGGAUUAGAUACCCGUGUAGUC